rnacentral:rRNA from 1 species
GACGAACGCUGGCGGCGGGCUUAACACAUGCAAGUCGAACGGAAAGGCCCUGCUUUUGUGGGGUGCUCGAGUGGCGAACGGGUGAGUAACACGUGAGUAACCUGCCCUUGACUUUGGGAUAACUUCAGGAAACUGGGGCUAAUACCGGAUAGGAGCUCCUGCUGCAUUGUGGGGGUUGGAAAGUUUCGGCGGUUGGGGAUGGACUCGCGGCUUAUCAGCUUGUUGGUGGGGUAGUGGCUUACCAAGGCUUUGACGGGUAGCCGGCCUGAGAGGGUGACCGGCCACAUUGGGACUGCGAUACGGCCCAGACUCCUACGGGAGGCAGCAGUGGGGAAUCUUGCACAAUGGGCGGAAGCCUGAUGCAGCAACGCCGCGUGCGGGAUGACGGCCUUCGGGUUGUAAACCGCUUUCGCCUGUGACGAAGCGUGAGUGACGGUAAUGGGUAAAGAAGCACCGGCUAACUACGUG